AAUUUAAAGACAUUUGAUCUGUAAGUUUAAGGUCACGUCGAAAUUGAGUCUGAGAUUAAAAGACAUUUACAAGUGCCGAAAUCCGAAUUCUUUCUUCAUUUUCUAUUUUGAUGAUUUCAUUUUAAGUUUCUAGCCUCACUUUACGAAACACAACUGUGGCAAUACAGUCAUAGACCUUUUGGUGGAAGUAGGCAUAUUGUUUAUCCUGGCCGACUGCCGAGCCCCAGCUUCGUGUCGUUGUCCUUAUCAGGCGAGUGCUUUGGCAGUGGUUCUCUGCUGCCUUCGGGGUCCUUUAAACGAGCGGAUGGCUGUGCCGUCGCCUCAGUUCGUCGGCAGCCGUCCCACAGUGCGGAUGACCCAAAAUCGGACCGCGGAGCGCCGACCUUUGACAUCAGUUUUGCUCGCGUUCGCGAUUUUUGCCGCGCUGUCACCGCGGCUUCAAUCGCUUUCGAUCCGUUCUGUGUUUGUGCUGCAAUUUCGGGGCGAAAACAAAAACAAAGUAAACAAUAAUUCAAGAGUUACAUGACAGAAUAAAGUAAAGCCUCCGUCGUUUAUUAUCAAAUCAAUUGAAAUAUGUAUACUCGCCUUGCAGGAUGCAUCCACGGUAAUUACGACAUUCUUCUUUAAAGUGACACACCUCUUUCAAAUGUAACGACUCGAAUCCAGAUGAUAUAUUGCAACGAUGCCUCUCGUGCAGGCGCAUUAAGUUCGCUUAUUGCCGGC